rnacentral:rRNA from 1 species
CAAAUUUGAAAUCUGGCUCUCGGGCCCGAGGGUAAUUUGUAGAGGAUGCUUUUGGUGAGGUGAUUUCCGAGCACCCUGGAACGGGACGCCAUAGAGGGUGAGAGCCCCGUCUGGUUGGACACCGAUCCUCUGUAAAGCUCCUUCGACGAGUCGAGUAGUUUGGGAAUGCUGCUCUAAAUGGGAGGUAUAUGGCUUCUAAAGCUAAAUACCGGCCAGAGACCGAUAGCGCACAAGUAGAGUGAUCGAAAGAUGAAAAGAACUUUGAAAAGAGAGUUAAAAAGUACGUGAAAUUGUUGAAAGGGAAGCGCUUGUGACCAGACUUGGGCUUGGUUGAUCAUCCGGGGUUCUCCCCGGUGCACUCUUCCGGCUCAGGCCAGCAUCAGUUCGCCCUGGGGGAUAAAGGCUUCGGGAAUGUGGCUCUCUCCGGGGAGUGUUAUAGCCCGCUGCGUAAUACCCUGUGGCGGACUGAGGUUCGCGCAUUCGCAAGGAUGCUGGCGUAAUGGUCAUCAGUGACCCGUCU